AGAGUUUGAUCCUGGCUCAGGAUGAACGCUGGCGGCGUGCUUAACACAUGCAAGUCGAACGGGGGUCAUCGGGUGGAACUUUUCGGAGGGAAGCCUUAUGACUCGAGUGGCGGACGGGUGAGUAACACGUGAGUAACCUGCCUUUUGCUGGGGAAUAACUGUGGGAAACCAUGGCUAAUACCGCAUAUUGUGUCUACAAGGCAUCUUGUGGAUAUGAAAGGAGCAAUCCGGCAGAAGAUGGGCUCGCGUCCGAUUAGGUAGUUGGUGGGGUAAUGGCCUACCAAGCCUGCGAUCGGUAGCCGGACUGAGAGGUCGAACGGCCACAUUGGGACUGAGACACGGCCCAGACUCCUACGGGAGGCAGCAGUGGGGAAUUUUGGGCAAUGGGGGAAACCCUGACCCAGCGACGCCGCGUGAAGGACGAAGGCCUUCGGGUUGUAAACUUCUUUAGGGAGGGACGAAAAUGACGGUACCCUCCAGAAUAAGCCACGGCUAACUACGUGCCAGCAGCCGCGGUAAUACGUAGGUGGCAAGCGUUAUCCCGAUUUACUGGGUGGAAAGGGGCGCGCCGGCCGGCCCUGCCAGUCAGAUGUUGAAGGCUCAAGGCUUAACCUUGGAAAUGUCAUCUGAAACUGUGGGGACUUGAGUAUCAGAGGGGAAAGGUGGAAUUUCUGGGUGGAAGCGGUAAAAUG
rnacentral:rRNA from 1 species